rnacentral:rRNA from 1 species
UACAGAGGGGGCAAGCGUUAUUCGGAAUUAUUGGGCGUAAAGGGCGCGUAGGCGGCCUGGCAAGUGGAAGGUGAAAUCCCUCGGCUUAACCGAGGAACUGCCCUCCAAACUGCUUGGCUUGAGUCCGGGAGAGGUGAGUGGAAUUCCCAGUGUAGCGGUGAAAUGCGUAGAUAUUGGGAGGAACACCUGUGGCGAAAGCGGCUCACUGGACCAUUACUGACGCUGAUGCACGAAAGCUAGGGGAGCAAACAGG